rnacentral:rRNA from 1 species
UACGUAGGGGGCAAGCGUUGUCCGGAUUUAUUGGGCGUAAAGAGCGUGUAGGCGGCCAGGUAGGUCUGCUGUGAAAACUCGAGGCUCAACCUCGAGAUGUCGGCGGAAACCAUCUGGCUAGAGUCCGGAAGAGGAGAGUGGAAUUCCCGGUGUAGCGGUGAAAUGCGCAGAUAUCGGGAAGAACACCCGUGGCGAAGGCGGUUCUCUGGGACGGUACUGACGCUGAGACGCGAAAGCGUGGGGAGCGAACAGG